UUAGAUCCACGGCCACAGACCACUGCUUCCACACAAACGCAACUAGACCACUGCUUCCAUCUCCACACCACCGCAGCCUCCACCGCUACCGCAUCCGCCUUCCACCGUCGCAGCCACCACCGCUGUCGCAAACAGAUCUGCCGCCCGCACCAGCCACGACCUCCAUUGCAGCCUUCGUCCACUACCUCCGCCUCAGUCACAGCGACCGCACCUCCGCCUCCAUCGCCUUCGCCGUCGUCUGCCUCCGCCACCAGCGAGCCUCCGUUGUAAGCACCACCACCGUAGCCACCAUCCAUUUUCGCCUCCCCCGCAGCCAGCCACCAGAUCUGCGCAGCGCAACCACCACCACCGUCCGCCAUUUUGCCCUCCACAACAGCCACCACCGUCCGCCAUUUCCGCCUCCAUUGCGCAGGUACAAAAUGUUGACGACAUAGUUAAAGAUUUGCUAAUGCAAAUCCAGAAUGGUGAGGCAGUAGAUCCAAAAGAUAUUGAUGGUCUUAAGCGAAGAAAUUUGAUUGCCCAACAGUAAUUAUCUAGGAGUUGGAAAGGCUACUCAGUAAGGAAGGGUCCUAAGUAUGCUCCCAAAA